UACGUAGGCAGCAAGCGUUGUUCGGAGUUACUGGGCGUAAAGGGCGUGUAGGCGGUUGUUUAAGUUUGGUGUGAAAUCUCCCGGCUCAACUGGGAGGGUGCGCCGAAUACUGAAUGACUAGAGUGCGGGAGAGGAAAGUGGAAUUCCUGGUGUAGCGGUGAAAUGCGUGGAUAUCAGGAGGAACACCGGUGGUGUAGACGGCUUUCUGGACCGUAACUGACGCUGAAACACGAAAGCGUGGGUAGCAAACAGG
rnacentral:rRNA from 1 species